AGUCUGAUGGAGCAACGCCGCGUGAGUGAAGAAGGUUUCGGCUCGUAAAGCUCUGUUGGUAGUGAAGAAAGAUAGAGGUAGUAACUGGCCUUUAUUUGACGGUAAUUACUUAGAAAGUCACGGCUAACUACGUGCCAGCAGCCGCGGUAAUACGUAGGUGGCAAGCGUUGUCCGGAUUUAUUGGGCGUAAAGCGAGUGCAGGCGGUUCAAUAAGUCUGAUGUGAAAGCCUUCGGCUCAACCGGAGAAUUGCAUCAGAAACUGUUGAACUUGAGUGCAGAAGAGGAGAGUGGAACUCCAUGUGUAGCGGUGGAAUGCGUAGAUAUAUGGAAGAACACCAGUGGCGAAGGCGGCUCUCUGGUCUGCAACUGACGCUGAGGCUCGAAAGCAUGGGUAGCGAACAGGAUUAGAUACCCUGGUAGUCCAUGCCGUAAACGAUGAGUGCUAAGUGUUGGGAGGUUUCCGCCUCUCAGUGCUGCAGCUAACGCAUUAAGCACUCCGCCUGGGGAGUACGACCGCAAGGUUGAAACUCAAAGGAAUUGACGGGGGCCCGCACAAGCGGUGGAGCAUGUGGUUUAAUUCGAAGCAACGCGAAGAACCUUACCAGGUCU
rnacentral:rRNA from 1 species